rnacentral:misc_RNA from 1 species
AAGUCGUAACAAGGUCUCCGUAGGUGAACCUGCGGAGGGAUCAUUACUGAGUGAGGGCCCCCGGCCCGACCUCCAACCCUUUGUGAUACCACUAUGUUGCCUCGGGGGCGACCCGGCCUUCGGGCGCGGGGCCCCCGGUGGGCCCCCAACGCUGCAUCUUUGCGUCUGAGUACAAAUAUAAAUCAAUCAAAA